AUUGAACGCUGGCGGCAGGCCUAACACAUGCAAGUCGAGCGGAUGAAGGGAGCUUGCUCCUGGAUUCAGCGGCGGACGGGUGAGUAAUGCCUAGGAAUCUGCCUGGUAGUGGGGGAUAACGUCCGGAAACGGGCGCUAAUACCGCAUACGUCCUGAGGGAGAAAGUGGGGGAUCUUCGGACCUCACGCUAUCAGAUGAGCCUAGGUCGGAUUAGCUAGUUGGUGGGGUAAAGGCCUACCAAGGCGACGAUCCGUAACUGGUCUGAGAGGAUGAUCAGUCACACUGGAACUGAGACACGGUCCAGACUCCUACGGGAGGCAGCAGUGGGGAAUAUUGGGCAAUGGGCGAAAGCCUGAUCCAGCCAGGCCGCGUGUGUGAAGAAGGUCUUCGGAUUGUAAAGCACUUUAAGUUGGGAGGAAGGGCAGUAAGUUAAUACCUUGCUGUUUUGACGUUACCAACAGAAUAAGCACCGGCUAACUUCGUG
rnacentral:rRNA from 1 species